UACAGAGGUCCCAAGCGUUGUUCGGAUUCACUGGGCGUAAAGGGUGCGUAGGUGGUCAGGUAAGUCGGAUGUGAAAUCUCCGAGCUCAACUCGGGAAACUGCAUUGGAAACUACCUGGCUCGAGGGUUGGAGGGGGGACUGGAAUGCUUGGUGGUAGCAGUGAAAUGCGCAGAUAUCAGGAGGAACACCGGUGGCGAAGGCGGGUCUCUGGGCCGAUACUGACGCUGAGGAGCGAAAGCGUGGGGAGCGAACAGG
rnacentral:rRNA from 1 species